rnacentral:rRNA from 1 species
GACGAGGGAUCCCUAGCGUUGUCCGGAAUUAUUGGGCGUAAAGCGCACGUAGGCGGAUUGUUAAGUCAGAGGUGAAAUCCCGGAGCUCAACUUCGGAACUGCCUUUGAUACUGGCAAUCUAGAGUCCGGAAGAGGUUAGUGGAAUUCCCAGUGUAGAGGUGAAAUUCGUAGAUAUUGGGAAGAACACCAGUGGCGAAGGCGGCUAACUGGUCCGGUACUGACGCUGAGGUGCGAAAGCGUGGGGAGCAAACAGGAUUAGAAACCCGUGUAGU